rnacentral:rRNA from 1 species
UAUGUAGGUGGCGAGCGUUGUCCGGAUUUACUGGGCGUAAAGGGCGUGCAGGCGGUUUGUUAAGUGCAGGGUGAAAGCUCCCGGCUCAACUGGGAGAGGUCCUUGCAUACUGGCGAACUCGAGGGAGGCAGAGGAAAGUGGAAUUCCCGGUGUAGUGGUGAUAUGCGUAGAUAUCGGGAGGAACACCUGUGGCGAAGGCGGCUUUCUGGGCCUUACCUGACGCUGAGACGCGAAAGCGUGGGGGAGCGAACCGG